CAGAGAGAUGGUAGUGUGGUGGUAGACAGAGAGAUGGUAGUGUGGUGGUAGACAGAGAGAUGGUAGUGUGGUGGUAGACAGAGAGGUGGUAGUGUGGUGGUAGACAGAGAGAUGGUAGUGUGGUGGUAGACAGAGAGAUGGUAGUGUGGUGGUAGACAGAGAGAUGGUAGUGUGGUGGUAGACAGAGAGAUGGUAGUGUGGUGGUGGACAGAGAGAUGGUAGUGUGGUGGUAGACAGAGAUAUGGUAGUGUAUGUGAGGGGGUAAAGGCCGGGAGAGGAUACUGUUAUUAUACAGAGAGGACGCAGCGUGUCAGGGAGCAUUACACACAAGUACACACACAUAAUGCUAAUACACACACAGUCACAAACACACACGCUAAUACACACACGUCGUGUCACUGUACAUCAC
ensembl:lncRNA